CGGGCGGUGAGGCUGAGCUGUGGGGCUGGGGGUCCAGCGGAGGGAGUGGUGCCCACAGAGGCCCCUCCGAGCCCUUCCCCCCGCCGUGGUGGCUCUCCAGGGCCGCACAGCUGGGCUUCCCAUCCCCUCCCAGGGCUCCCCUGCGCCCACGGACACCUGCAGGCCCCGCCUCUCCUCCACAGGCGAGAACCCGACGGACUGACAAGGACUGGCAUUCUUUUAAAUGAAGAGCAAAAGACAGGAGAGGGGAGCCUUGGGCUUGAGAAUUCAAGGCUCUUUCAAUAGGAUUCUGGUUUGCUCUAUGGUUACACCCCCUCUCCCCUCCAUCUCCUCAUCCUACUCUGCUCUCUCGUAACACCCACACAUACUGCAUGACAAUCUUCCACUCCCUGCUGUGACUUUCCAUGGAAGAUGCUGUCAUGUGAAAUCCCGGGAGGGAGUUACCACAUGGAGCACUGUGAAAGCAUCGCACAUCUCUUGCAGAACAGGCUUGCAGACGGAGGAAUGCUCUGCCCCCCCCCCUCCAAAAUCCUGAACACUUUUGAGUAGGGGUGGGGGGUGUGGGGAAUCAUCUUGUAAGCUUGGGAGCCACCUACGCACAUGGCAAGUCUUGUCAGCAGCUGAUAAAAGAGG
rnacentral:lncRNA from 1 species